rnacentral:rRNA from 1 species
GGACGAACGCUGGCGGCGUGCUUAAUACAUGCAAGUCAACUGAACUGUUUGUAGCAAUACGGACAGGGAGGUGGCGCACGGGUGAGUAACACGUAGGUAAUCUGCCUUUAGGUCUGACAUAACCCCGGGAAACCGGAGCUAAUAUCAGAUGAUGCAGCGGCUCGACAUCGAGACAGUUGCUAAAACCUUGGGGCCUAAAGAUGAGCCUGCGUCUGAUUAGCUAGUUGGUGAGGUAAC